ACGGGUGAGUAACACGUGGGCAAUCUGCCCUUCACUCUGGGACAAGCCCUGGAAACGGGGUCUAAUACCGGAUAUCACUUCCACUCGCAUGGGUGGGGGUCGAAAGCUCCGGCGGUGAAGGAUGAGCCCGCGGCCUAUCAGCUUGUUGGUGAGGUAAUGGCUCACCAAGGCGACGACGGGUAGCCGGCCUGAGAGGGCGACCGGCCACACUGGGACUGAGACACGGCCCAAACUCCUACGGGAGGCAGCAGUGGGGAAUAUUGCACAAUGGGCGAAAGCCUGAUGCAGCGACGCCGCGUGAGGGAUGACGGCCUUCGGGUUGUAAACCUCUUUCAACAGGAAAGAAGCGAAAGUGACGGUACCUGCAGAACAAGCGCCGGCUAACUACUUGCCAGCAGCCGCGGUAAUACGUAGGGCGCAAGCGUUGUCCGGAAUUAUUGGGCGUAAAGAGCUCGUAGGCGGUCUGUCGCGUCGGAUGUGAAAGCCCGGGGCUUAACCCCGGGUCUGCAUUCGAUACGGGCAGACUAGAGUGUGGUAGGUGAGAUCGGAAUUCCUGGUGUAGCGGUGAAAUGCGCAGA
rnacentral:rRNA from 1 species